CAUGCAAGUCGAACGGUAACAGGCCUUCGGGUGCUGACGAGUGGCGGACGGGUGAGUAACGCGUAGGAAUCUGCCCUGUAGUGGGGGACAACGUGGGGAAACUCACGCUAAUACCGCAUACGCCCUGAGGGGGAAAGCGGGGGACCUUCGGGCCUCGCGCUAUGGGAUGAGCCUGCGUGGGAUUAGCUAGUUGGUAGGGUAAAGGCCUACCAAGGCGACGAUCCCUAGCCGGCCUGAGAGGGUGGCCGGCCACACUGGGACUGAGACACGGCCCAGACUCCUACGGGAGGCAGCAGUGGGGAAUAUUGGACAAUGGGCGCAAGCCUGAUCCAGCAAUGCCGCGUGUGUGAAGAAGGCCUGAGGGUUGUAAAGCACUUUCAGUGGGGAGGAAAAAGCGAAGGUUAAUACCCUUGGUCUUGACAUUACCCAGAGAAGAAGCACCGGCUAACUCCGUGCCAGCAGCCGCGGUAAUACGGAGGGUGCGAGCGUUAAUCGGAAUUACUGGGCGUAAAGCGUGCGUAGGCGGCUAUUUAAGUCAGAUGUGAAAGCCCCGGGCUUAACCUGGGAACGGCAUUUGAUACUGGGUAGCUAGAGUUUGGUAGAGGGGAGUGGAAUUUCAGGUGUAGCGGUGAAAUGCGUAGAGAUCUGAAGGAACACCAGUGGCGAAGGCGGCUCCCUGGACCAGAACUGACGCUGAGGCACGAAAGCGUGGGUAGCAAACAGGAUUAGAUACCCUGGUAGUCCACGCCGUAAACGAUGCCGACUAGCCGUUGGGUCUUUAAGGAGGCUUGGUGGCGCAGC
rnacentral:rRNA from 1 species